rnacentral:rRNA from 2 species
UUUGGUGGCGAUAGCGAAGAGGUCACACCCGUUCCCAUGUCGAACACGGAAGUUAAGCUCUUCAGCGCCGAUGGUAGUCGGGGGUUUCCCCCUGUGAGAGUAGGACGCCGCCAAGC